UACGUAGGGGGCAAGCGUUGUCCGGAAUCAUUGGGCGUAAAGAGCGCGUAGGCGGCCCGAUAAGUCCGCUGUGAAAGUCAAAGGGCUCAACCCUUGAAUGCCGGUGGAUACUGUCGGGCUAGAGUCCGGAAGAGGCGAGUGGAAUUCCUGGUGUAGCGGUGAAAUGCGCAGAUAUCAGGAGGAACACCAAUGGCGAAGGCAGCUCGCUGGGACGGUACUGACGCUGAGGCGCGAAAGCGUGGGGGAGCAAACAGG
rnacentral:rRNA from 1 species